UGAGGAAAGCUUGCUUUCCUUGAUGACGACUGGCGCACGGGUGAGUAACGCGUAUCCAACCUUCCCAUAACUACGGGAUAACCCGUUGAAAGACGGCCUAAUACCGUAUGAUAUCGUUUGCUGACAUCAAAUAACGAUUAAAGGUUUAGCGGUUAUGGAUGGGGAUGCGUCUGAUUAGCUUGUUGGCGGGGUAACGGCCCACCAAGGCGACGAUCAGUAGGGGUUCUGAGAGGAAGGUCCCCCACAUUGGAACUGAGACACGGUCCAAACUCCUACGGGAGGCAGCAGUGAGGAAUAUUGGUCAAUGGGCGAGAGCCUGAACCAGCCAAGUAGCGUGCAGGAUGACGGCCCUAUGGGUUGUAAACUGCUUUUAUGUGGGGAUAAAGUGCGUGACGUGUCAUGCAUUGCAGGUACCACAUGAAUAAGGACCGGCUAAUUCCGUGCCAGCAGCCGCGGUAAUACGGAAGGUCCGGGCGUUAUCCGGAUUUAUUGGGUUUAAAGGGAGCGUAGGCUGUCUAUUAAGCGUGUUGUGAAAUUUACCGGCUCAACCGGUGGCUUGCAGCGCGAACUGGUCGACUUGAGUAUGCAGGAAGUAGGCGGAAUUCAUGGUGUAGCGGUGAAAUGCUUAGAUAUCAUGACGAACUCCGAUUGCGCAGGCAGCUUACUGUAGCAUAACUGACGCUGAUGCUCGAAAGUGCGGGUAUCAAACAGGAUUAGAUACCCUGGUAGUCCGCACGGUAAACGAUGGAUGCUCGCUAU
rnacentral:rRNA from 1 species